rnacentral:rRNA from 1 species
CCUACGGGUGGCAGCAGUGGGGAAUAUUGCACAAUGGGGGAAACCCUGAUGCAGCGACGCCGCGUGAGUGAAGAAGGAUUUCGGGAUGUAAAGCUCUAUCAGCAGGGAAGAAAAUGACGGUACCUGAUGCAGAAGCCCCGGCUAACUACGUGCCAGCAGCCGCGGUAAUACGGAGGGGGCAAGCGUUAUCCGGAUUUACUGGGGGGAAAGGGAGCGUAGACGGCAGCACAAGUCUGGGGGGAAAUGCCGGGGCUUAACCCCGGAACUGCAUUGGAAACUGUGCAGCUAGAGUGCAGGAGAGGUAAGUGGAAUUCCUGGUGUAGCGGUGAAAUGCGUAGAUAUUAGGAGGAACACCCGUGGCGAAGGCGGCUUACUGGACUGUAACUGACGUUGAGGCUCGAAAGCGUGGGGAGCAAACAGGAUUAGAUACCCGGGUAGUC